rnacentral:rRNA from 1 species
AGAGUUUGAUCCUGGCUCAGGACGAACGCUGGCGGCGUGCCUAACACAUGCAAGUCGAACGGACGAGGCCCCUUCGGGGACCGAGUUAGUGGCGGACGGGUGAGUAACGCGUGAGCAACCUGCCUUUCAGAGGGGGACAACAGUUGGAAACGACUGCUAAUACCGCAUGAUGCAGCGAGAUCGCAUGGUCUUGCUGUCAAAGAUUUAUCGCUGAAAGAUGGGCUCGCGUCUGAUUAGCUAGUUGGAGGGGUAACGGCCCACCAAGGCGACGAUCAGUAGCCGGACUGAGAGGUUGAACGGCCACAUUGGGACUGAGAUACGGCCCAGACUCCUACGGGAGGCAGCAGUUGGGAAUAUUGGGCAAUGGGGGAAACCCUGACCCAGCAACGCCGCGUGAAGGAAGAAGGCUUUCGGGUUGUAAACUUCUUUUACCAGGGACGAAGAACGUGACGGUACCUGGAGAAAAAGCCACGGCUAACUACGUGCCAGCAGCCGCGGUAAUACGUAGGUGGCAAGCGUUGUCCGGAUUUACUGGGUGUAAAGGGCGUGUAGGCGGAGCUGCAAGUCAGAUGUGAAAUCUGGGGGCUUAACCCUCAAACUGCAUUUGAAACUGUAGCCCUUGAGUAUCGGAGAGGCAGGCGGAAUUCCUAGUGUAGCGGUGAAAUGCGUAGAUAUUAGGAAGAACACCAGUGGCGAAGGCGGCCUGCUGGACGACAACUGACGCUGAGGCGCGAAAGCGUGGGGAGCAAACAGGAUUAGAUACCCUGGUAGUCCACGCUGUAAACGAUGAAUACUAGGUGUGGGGGGACUGACCCCCUCCGUGCCGGAGUUAACACAAUAAGUAUUCCACCUGGGGAGUACGACCGCAAGGUUGAAACUCAAAGGAAUUGACGGGGGCCCGCACAAGCAGUGGAUUAUGUGGUUUAAUUCGACGCAACGCGAAGAACCUUACCGGGAUUUGACAUCCUACUAACGAAGCAGAGAUGCAUUAGGUGCCCUUCGGGGAAAGUAGAGACAGGUGGUGCAUGGUUGUCGUCAGCUCGUGUCGUGAGAUGUUGGGUUAAGUCCCGCAACGAGCGCAACCCCUAUUGUUAGUUGCUACGCAAGAGCACUCUAGCGAGACUGCCGUUGACAAAACGGAGGAAGGCGGGGACGACGUCAAAUCACCAUGCCCCUUAUGUCCCGGGCUACACACGUAAUACAAUGGCGGUCAACAAAGGGAAGCAAAGCCGCGAGGCAGAGCAAACCCCCAAAAGCCGUCUCAGUUCGGAUUGCAGGCUGCAACUCGCCUGCAUGAAGCUGGAAUUGCUAGUAAUCGUGGAUCAGAAUGCCACGGUGAAUACGUUCCCGGGCCUUGUACACACCGCCCGUCACACCAUGAGAGUCGGGAACACCCGAAGUCCGUAGUCUAACCCGCAAGGGAGGGCGCGGCCGAAGGUGGGUCUGAUAAUUGGGGUGAAGUCGUAACAAGGUA